UACGUAGGGUGCGAGCGUUACUCGGAAUUACUGGGCGUAAAGAGCGCGCAGGCGGUCGUUCAAGUCGAGUGUGAAAGCCCCCGGCUCAACUGGGGAGGGUCAUUCGAUACUGAUCGACUCGAAGGCAGGAGAGGGAAGUGGAAUUCCCGGUGUAGUGGUGAAAUGCGUAGAUAUCGGGAGGAACACCAGUGGCGAAGGCGACUUCCUGGCCUGUUCUUGACGCUGAGGCGCGAAAGCUAGGGGAGCAAACGGG
rnacentral:rRNA from 1 species